GGAAGGAUGGCCGAGUGGUUAUGGCGCUGCGUUCAGGUUAACCUGGAUUUCCAACAUGAGAAGUUUCGCAGUGGAGCAAUCCGCGUGGGUUCGAGUCCCACUCCUUUCA